UCGCCUUGUUACGUUGUCAACGAAACCCGAAGAGCCAUCUUCCCAAGGUUGCAAGACAUACAGGCUUCUUUGUUUCCAGCUGAAUCAACAGGACUGAUGAAUGGAUGUCCAGACAUAUCAGGGCCAAGGGCUCCACCACAGCCUUACCAGGGGCUUGAGACCGCUGAUAUCCGCCGGGAGGUGCCGGACGUGUCGCUCGUGUUCAACCCGGAGGAGCGCAGCCUGGUGCUGGGCUCGCGGCCGGGUGGCGCGCUGCCGGCCGCUCGGCUUCAGCAGGA